UACGGAGGGUGCGAGCGUUGUCCGGAAUGAUUGGGCGUAAAGCGUCCGCAGGUGGCUAUGUAAGUCUGCUGUUAAAGAGUGAGGCUCAACCUCAUAAGAGCAGUGGAAACUACAUGGCUAGAGUGCGUUCGGGGCAGAGGGAAUUCCUGGUGUAGCGGUGAAAUGCGUAGAGAUCAGGAAGAACACCGGUGGCGAAAGCGCUCUGCUAGGCCGCAACUGACACUCAUGGACGAAAGCUAGGGGAGCGAAUGGG
rnacentral:rRNA from 1 species